CAACUGCCCUUAACUAAGUGUCUUUGGUAGACGGAAAGGGUGAAAGAGAGAGGUGGGAAGAGAGUGAAAGACAGAGAGAGAUGGGGGAGAGAGAAACAGAAAGUGGUGCAAAAUUACUUAGACUCUUGUCUUCGAACUUGUUAGGCAAUCACAUGUGCUUACAAGGAUGGCCAGUCUCAUAGGAGGGUGAUUUUUAACUGAGGAGAAGAUGGAGUGAAGUGCUUGAUUGCCAAAAUCAACAUAACUCUUCUUUUGACAAUUGGCAUGGGAUUGUCAAGAAUGUGGACAGCUGGGAGUUUGAGAGGGUGAAGACUGUGGCGUAGAAUUUGAAGCGCAUCAGUUGUUUCACCAUGGCACAUGAUCGUAUGACGUACUUUCAAAUCACUGAAACUCGAUGCGAUGGAAGUUGUCGAACCAGAUCAGAACGCCUUCGAGGACAACCUUCAGGCACAGGAUGAGAAGCAUGAGGAGGUGAGAUUGAACAAGGACAAGGUGCUGGAGAAACAGAAGGAGAGCCUCCAGAGGAGAAUCAAGAAAUUACAGACAGGACCUAGGGGUUCUGCCCAACACACAGACGUGGAUCCACCUGAUGUCCUCCAUUACCUGGUCUCCAGAACCUAGGGGUUCUGUCCAACACCCAGACGUGGAUCCACCUGAUGUCCUCCAUUACCUGUUCUCCAGGACCUAGGGGUUCUGUCCACCACCAAGACGUGGAUCCACACCCAGACGUCAUCCUGUCUGGGUUGGCGCCCCCCCCUUGGGUUGUGCCAUGGCGGAGAUCUUUGUGGGCUAUACUCAGCCUUGUCUCAGGAUGGGUAAGUUGGUGGUUGAAGAUGUCCCUCUAGUGGU